rnacentral:lncRNA from 1 species
GAUCUCCCAUCAUCACAUUCAGGCCCCUCCUCACGAACCAGUCGUAGUAGACUUGGGCAGCUCAUCCGGUUGCUGCUAGGUCCCUCUCGGUUUGAGGCAAGGGUUUUUGUCAACCGCUUGAGAUUUUUCUCAAUUAGUCGCAUCUUAUUGAUCAACUCGAUUUCCAUUCAGUUGAAGCUAUCUUGUAGUCCGCCAAGGCUAGCUUCUAGAUUCUCGAUUCGUUCUUUGUUGGAGACAAUUUCAACAAGCUCUGAUACCAAUGAUAGGUCCCAGUUAUAGCUCUAAAGAAUUACCGGGUUUUUUUUUUGUAGUGAGAAUUACUAAUAGAAAUUUGUGGAAAUUUUGAUAUGCCUUUAUUGAUGAAAUUGUGCGUUCUUAAAUACACAGAGAUUCAACAAUAAUUUCCUACUCCUAUGGUACAGAUAAGAAGAGAAGAUGCAGAAAAAUCAAAUGCUAGUGGAGUUGUAGGAGAGCACAUCACAGGAUGGCUGUAUGGACCGAUUCUCCAAGCGCCCAUGUUUCUGUUGUGCUGCCAUUGAGACUGGCUCUUCAUCCGGGUUGAUUUCUUUAGA